GACGAACGCUGGCGGCGUGCUUAACACAUGCAAGUCGAACGAAGUGGAGAACUGGUGAGUAAUACGUGGGUAACCUGCCCUCCUUUUUGGGAUAAGCCUUGGAAACGGGGUCUAAUACCGAAUAAAGGGGGAUGGGCUCGCGGCCUAUCAGCUGGUUGGUGGGGUGAUGGCCUACCACGGCGGUGACGGGUAGCCGGCCUGAGAGGGUGAACGGCAACAUAGGGACGGAGCUACGGCCCAGAGUCCUAAGGGAGGGAGCAGUGGGGGAUAUUGCACAAUGGGCGAAAGCCUGAUGCAGCGACGCCGCGUGGGGGAUGAAGGCUUUCGGGUUGUAAACCUCUUUCGCUAGCGAACCGGUAGGUGGAGAAGAAGCGCCGGCUAACUACGUGCCAGCAGCCGCGGUAAUUC
rnacentral:rRNA from 1 species